CCUACGGGUGGCAGCAGUGAGGAAUAUUGGUCAAUGGACGAGAGUCUGAACCAGCCAAGUAGCGUGAAGGAUGACUGCCCUAUGGGUUGUAAACUUCUUUUAUAUGGGAAUAAAAUGUUCCACGUGUGGGAUUUUGUAUGUACCAUAUGAAUAAGGAUCGGCUAACUCCGUGCCAGCAGCCGCGGUAAUACGGAGGAUCCGAGCGUUAUCCGGAUUUAUUGGGUUUAAAGGGAGCGUAGGUGGAUUGUUAAGUCAGUUGUGAAAGUUUGCGGCUCAACCGGAAAAUUGCAGUUGAAACUGGCAGUCUUGAGUACAGUAGAGGUGGGCGGAAUGCGUGGUGUAGCGGUGAAAUGCUUAGAUAUCACGAAGAACUCCGAUUGCGAAGGCAGUUCACUGGACUGCAACUGACACUGAGGCUCGAAAGUGUGGGUAUCAAACAGGAUUAGAUACCCGGGUAGUC
rnacentral:rRNA from 1 species